rnacentral:rRNA from 1 species
GUAAUGAUUCUUCCGUAGGGUAACCUGCGGAAGGAUCAUUACCUAGAGUUGUAGGCUUUGCCUGCUAUCUCUUACCCAUGUCUUUUGAGUACCUUCGUUUCCUCGGCGGGUCCGCCCGCCGAUUGGACACAUUUAAACCCUUUGUAGUUGCAAUCAGCGUCUGAAAAACUUUAAUAGUUACAACUUUCAACAACGGAUCUCUUGGUUCUGGCAUCGAUGAAGAACGCAGCGAAAUGCGAUAAGUAGUGUGAAUUGCAGAAUUCAGUGAAUCAUCGAAUCUUUGAACGCACAUUGCGCCCCUUGGUAUUCCAUGGGGCAUGCCUGUUCGAGCGUCAUUUGUACCUUCAAGCUUUGCUUGGUGUUGGGUGUUUGUCUCGCCUCUGCGCGCAGACUCGCCUCAAAACAAUUGGCAGCCGGCGUAUUGAUUUCGGAGCGCAGUACAUCUCGCGCUUUGCACUCAUAACGACGACGUCCAAAAAGUACAUUUUUUACACUCUUGACCUCGGAUCAGGUAGGGAUACCCGCUGAACUUAAGCAUAUCAAAAGCCGGAGGAAUUUUCCAU